GGAAAAUGGACGAAUUGCGGGCAAACUCACGGUAUCGAUAUGAAUACAGGGAGGCCUGUGUGAUGUCCUUUUCUGAAACUUGGGCUGUCGGAGGCGGUGCCCGACUCUGAAGUCACCCCUGACAGAUUCACUAUUACUCGGAUGGACAGAGACUAGUGAGGCUGCUGAGGAACACUGGCAAGGAGAGUGAUGGAAUGUGGGCAGAAAAGAGUAACUGUUGCCGUGGAGACCAAAGAAGGAUUUCCUCAGCCUACUGAACCCUCCUACUGGACUCCUCUCUCUCUCUCUCUUUCUCUCUCUCUCCCUCUCUUUUCCUCUCUUUCUCUACCUUCAUCUCUCUCAUUCUCUCUUUCAGUCUCUCGCUUUCGUUCUCUCCCUUCUCUCUCUCUGUCUGUCUGUUCUACUCCCUCCCUC
rnacentral:lncRNA from 1 species